AUACGGAAGGUCCGGGCGUUAUCCGGAUUUAUUGGGUUUAAAGGGAGCGCAGGCGGAGAUGCAAGCGUGACGUCAAAUUUCGGGGCUCAACCCCGUCUCGCGUCGCGAACUGCGUCCCUUGGUUGCGGGAAGGGGAGGCGGAACUCGUGGUGUAGCGGUGAAACGCAUAGAUAUCACGAAGAACUCCGAUCGCGAAGGCAGCCUUCCGGCCCGUCAACGACGCUCAUGCUCGAAGGUGCGGUUAUCAAACAGGAUUAGAUACCCUGGUAGUCCGCACAGUAAACGAUGGACACCCGCGGUUUGGCCUGUAUGGCUGAGCCGCCAAGCGAAAGCGUUAAGUGUCCCACCUGGGGAGUACGCCGGCAACGGUGAAACUCAAAGGAAUUGACGGGG
rnacentral:rRNA from 1 species